rnacentral:tRNA from 1 species
UCGACGGUGCGCAGCAUGCGCGUGAGUGCGAUCAACGGCAGGCCGACGAGCGCGGUCGGGUCGUUCGAGUCGAUCGCGUCGAGC